rnacentral:rRNA from 1 species
AUUGAACGCUGGCGGCAGGCCUAACACAUGCAAGUCGAGCGGAUGAAGGGAGCUUGCUCCUGGAUUCAGCGGCGGACGGGUGAGUAAUGCCUAGGAAUCUGCCUGGUAGUGGGGGAUAACGUCCGGAAACGGGCGCUAAUACCGCAUACGUCCUGAGGGAGAAAGUGGGGGAUCUUCGGACCUCACGCUAUCAGAUGAGCCUAGGUCGGAUUAGCUAGUUGGUGGGGUAAAGGCCUACCAAGGCGACGAUCCGUAACUGGUCUGAGAGGAUGAUCAGUCACACUGGAACUGAGACACGGUCCAGACUCCUACGGGAGGCAGCAGUGGGGAAUAUUGGACAAAGGGCGAAAGCCUGAUCCAGCCAUGCCGUGUGUGUGAAGAAGGUCUUCGGAUUGUAAAGCACUUUAAGUUGGGAGGAAGGGCAGUAAGUUAAUACCUUGCUGUUUUGACGUUACCAACAGAAUAAGCACCGGCUAACUUCGUG